GGGUAACCUGCCCCAUGCUGGAUAAUAACCUCGGGAAACUGAGAAUAAUGAUCCAUAGUUCACUACGCCUGGAACGGUGAGUGGAUGAAAGCUCCGGCGGCAUAGGAUGGGCCUGCGGCGUAUCAGGUUGUAGGGGGUGUAACGUACCCUCUAGCCCUCUACGCGUACGGGUGUUGGGAGACAUAGCCCGGAGAUGGAUUCUGAGACACGAAUCCAGACCCUACGGGGUGCAGCAGGCGCGAAAACUUGGCAAUGCGAGAAAUCGUGACCAGGGAACUCCAAGUGCAUCGGGUAAGACCGGAGCUUUUCUUGACUCUAAAUAGGUCUUGGAAUAAGGGGUGGGUAAGGACGGUGCCAGCCGCCGCGGUAAUACCGGCGCCUCAAGUGGUAGUCGCUUUUAUUGGGCCUAAAACGUCCGUAGCCGGUCUGAUACAUUCGUGGGUAAAUCAACCAGCUCAACUGGUUGAAUUCUGCGAGGACGGUCACACUUGGGACCGGGAGAGGUGUGGGGUACGCUCAGGGUAGGGGUAAAAUCCUGUCAUCCUGAGCGGACCACCUGUUGCGAAGGCGCCACACUAUAACGGAUCCGACGGCCAGGGACGAAGCCUAGGGGCACGAACCGGAUUAGAUACCCGGGUAGUCCUAGGUGUAAACGCUGUGGACUUGAUGUUGGGGGUGCUCCGAGCACUCUCAGUGUCGAAGCGAAGGUGAUAAGUCCACUGCCUGGGAAGUACGGUCGCAAGGCUGAAACUU
rnacentral:rRNA from 1 species